rnacentral:rRNA from 1 species
AUGCGGAGGAAUUUGAAACCAACAGGGAUUGCCUCAGUAGCGGCGAGUGAAGCGGCAAGAGCUCAGAUUUGAAAUCGUGCUUUGCGGCACGAGUUGUAGAUUGCAGGUUGGAGUCUGUGUGGAAGGCGGUGUCCAAGUCCCUUGGAACAGGGCGCCCAGGAGGGUGAGAGCCCCGUGGGAUGCCGGCGGAAGCAGUGAGGCCCUUCUGACGAGUCGAGUUGUUUGGGAAUGCAGCUCCAAGCGGGUGGUAAAUUCCAUCUAAGGCUAAAUACUGGCGAGAGACCGAUAGCGAACAAGUACUGUGAAGGAAAGAUGAAAAGCACUUUGAAAAGAGAGUGAAACAGCACGUGAAAUUGUUGAAAGGGAAGGGUAUUGCGCCCGACAUGGGGAUUGCGCACCGCUGCCUCUCGUGGGCGGCGCUCUGGGCUUUCCCUGGGCCAGCAUCGGUUCUUGCUGCAGGAGAAGGGGUUCUGGAACGUGGCUCUUCGGAGUGUUAUAGCCAGGGCCAGAUGCUGCGUGCGGGGACCGAGGACUGCGGCCGUGUAGUCACGAUGCUGCGAGAACUC